rnacentral:tRNA from 1 species
GGGGUUGUAGCUUAUUGGUAAGUACUUGCCUUGCAUGCAUGAGGCAUUGGGUUCGAACCUCAGCACCACA